UAUGAUCCUGAACUGGAUGCCAGAUUGAGUC
rnacentral:piRNA from 1 species